CCUCAGCUGGUAAGUUUACUUUUCUUCUUUGACCAAGCAAACUGAAGCCAACAGAAGAGAAAUUUCACCAGCAACUCCCAGCACAUCCGCUCGCCUUCUGAUGUCUGUAACCUCACUCUCGCUGCCCCACCUCUUAUUACAGAUUGAACAGGAUCCAGGGGGAAGUACCAAGCCUGUCCCAUCGGUCAUCCUGUGUGUCAUGUCCUGUGACCCAGUGGAUGCUCAGCACCCUCCAGCUGAAGAAACAGAUUACCUUAGAUACAUGAAAGGUGAGGACACAUAUUAUCCCCAUGGAGCCCAGGUGGGGAUGGGAGUCUGCUGUUUGUACAGCCGUUGGGCUCGUGUUGCUUUGGGCAUCCCUGUGCCUGAACUCCUGCAGUACACUCGGUGAGAACAGCAUCUCUGAGCCCGUCCUGGGUGACCUCACAGAGAUCACCCUAGUGGCCCAGGCUAGUGACCGGGAACAUGUACCUUCCUGCAGCCAACCACAGACGUCCACUGAUGCAUCAUAUACUGGCAAAGAUCCUGGCCUGGGGGGUGGGGCG